ensembl:lncRNA
CGACUGGAAAAAUUUGCAAGCCCUGUGUUACAGGCAUGGCCCUUUAAGGAUGAAGCCUGAUGGGAAAUGUAUUCGGGAUGUGUGUAGCGGGACUGCCUGGUGUGUGUGUGAAGAGAGAGAGCGGAGAUGGGGAAAAAGUAACGGUUAGCUACAGAAGAGACGACAAGAAAAUAAAUAAAAGGAAUAUAAUAACUCCCUCGACAGCCAGAGUUGUGUCGGCGAUGCUCGCUGUCUUAUUACUCAAAUCCAGCGUCACUGCAAGUCUUUGCUUCCACAGUGAACUGUGGGGCCACAUGUGGGGAGCAACCCAGCGAGGAAUUAGAGGAUUACAGGAGAGACUGAGGACGCUGCUCUGCUCUGAGGAGCUUCACUGUAACAGUCCAUGCUCUACUCCUCUCUUCAUUCCAUCUGCCUGCCUCCCUGCCAUGGCUACUGGGAUUCAUGCAAUCACGACAUCUGACAGGAAACUCACCCGGACCUCUCUGACUGCUUUCCCCACCACGUUGUUCUCCACCUGCGAACGAUGACUCUGAGCACCUUCUCCAAACCACGACCCAUUUCACCUUUAGCCCCCGUUCGUGGACUCUUUAAUCUGUAUAGUUUCAUCGCUCUACGUCUGGCUCACAGUUCAUGUUUGAAUUAUAGUGCCUCCGUCCGUGUCCGCGUUUGGGUUCAUUCUCCUGGCCCUGACAAGCAGAUGCUGAAGCACAUAGUGUGCAGAGGUUACCAACUUUCUACAGAGUUAAUCGCUGCAGCCCUCCAAACUUCAUGUGGUCUUCAGCUCAAGAACAGUGCAUAGAGAGCUUCAUUAAAUGGGUUUCCAAGGGGUAGUAGCUGUUGUAGGUUUUAGCAAUAUUGGCUUAUCUCAACUGGCACCCUGUUACAGCCAUAAUCUAAUAAUCAGGCCCCAUCUUAUCUUAAAAACCUUCUAAUAACAUAUCACCCCAAUAGAGUACUUUAUUCUAUUCAGACUUACAAAGUCAAGAAUUGUAAGAUGAGGUUGACUGACAUAUUGUUUGUAUAUCAAACAAUGCCUAGCUUUAAAGCAGCUGGCUUGACUUGGGUGUGGAUACAAAAAUAAAAGUAACAGUAAGUUAAAAAAAAAUAAAUAAAAAAAAUAAAAAAAUAAAAAAUUAGAUCAAGGUUCACAAACACAGCACAAAACAGCUGAACAAAAGACCACGGAAGUUGAAUAAAACAUAAGACAACGCAAUAGCGGUGGAAAAAAAAAUUGUCACAAAACACAAAUGAAAUAUGCUUAAAAGAAGCAGAGGUUUCAUUAGUGUUGUGAGGGAGAAAAAUAUGCAGUAAUGUGUGUUCUUAUUGCAUGAUUCAUAUAAUACUGUAGAUACAGCUAAUAGCUGCGGUUACUUCCGCAGCUGUUCCUACAUUACUGUCUGCCCAAAAACACUUUCAUUUUAUUUUGUUCAACCUUUGUGUUGUGUUGUAUUAUGAUUUGUGUACUUUUGCAGCAUUUUUCUAUCUGCUGGAAGCUUAAGUUGCAGUGCAGUUGACUGCAAAGAGCCACCACAGUAUGUCCUGGUUAAAUAAAUAAACGUGAAGGAAAAAAAAAAAAAAAAAUCAUGACAGCCAGAUAAUUGAGCGUGCGCACAUAUAUAUAUUUUAUCCUUACUGUAAACAUGCAAAUGUUUAGUAACAAGAUUUGCUGGUCUUUGAGGGAUCUGUGGAAUAAGUUUUUCAAAAAAACAAAUACAAAAAAAAAAACAGACGCAACAUUACAAUAAGCUACCAGAAAAAACAGUAAUACUGAAAUCUGUGGAGAACACGCGCGCGCACUUGCACAAACACCGAUUACACAAGGACGACAAGGACAAGCAAUAAAAACCAGCUCCUAAAAGCCUAGGAAAAGCCCAUACACACAUACAGUACAGGGAUAUGCAUGCACCUGGCAAUAGCAACAUUUAUCCUUCCAUUUUUAUACCUGUUUAUCCAUUCAGGGUCACAGAAGUAGCAUCAUAAAGUCUGAUCGCACCCAUUAAGUCUCCAUUAAAAAUAUGCCCAAUAAAUCAUGUUGCUGAUUUUCUUUCCUUUUUGCUUUUAUUUGACUGCAUCAAAAUUGAUUUGAUUAAUAUUUUAUUAUGAUCUAAUAAAAUUAGUCGAUUUUCCUUCAGUUAACCUGAACUGUUUAUCACCAGUGCCCCCACUGAUGUCCUGAUGCCAGUUUAUAUCAG